GACGAACGCUGGCGGCGUGCCUAAUACAUGCAAGUAGAACGCGUUUGCGAACGUGUGAGUAACGCGUAGGUAACUGCCUCAUAGCGGGGGGUAACUAUUGGCAACGAUAGCUAAUACCGCAUACUUUGAGAUGGACCUGCGUUGUAUUAGCUAGUUGGUGUGGUAAAGGCUCACCAAGGCGGCGAUACAUAGCCGACCUGAGAGGUCGAGUGGCCACACUGGGGUUGAGACACGUCACAGACUCCUACGGGUGGCAGCAGUAGGGAAACUGCGGGAAUGGACGGAAGUCUGACCGAGCUACGCCGCGUGAGUGAAGAAGGUUUUCGGAUCGUAAAGCUCUGUUGUUAGAGAAGCGGUAUCUAACGAGAAAGGAACGGCUAACUCCGUGCCAGCAGCCGCGGUAAUUC
rnacentral:rRNA from 1 species